GACAGAGGAUGCAAGCGUUAUCCGGAAUGAUUGGGCGUAAAGCGUCUGUAGGUGGCUUUUUAAGUCUGCCGUCAAAUCCCAGGGCUUAACCCUGGACAGGCGGUGGAAACUACCAAGCUGGAGUACGGUAGGGGCAGAGGGAAUUUCCGGUGGAGCGGUGAAAUGCGCAGAUAUCAGGAGGAACACCAGUGGCGAAGGCGGUGCUCUGGGCCGGAACUGACGCUGAGGAGCGAAAGCCAGGGGAGCAAACGGG
rnacentral:rRNA from 1 species